AAGUCGUAACAAGGUUUCCGUAGGUGAACCUGCGGAAGGAUCAUUACCAAAUCCAAAAUACCCAACCCCAUGUGAACUAUUGUCUGUCUGUCUUUGGGGGAGCAUUAUGGAAAAAAAACCUUUGGGUUUUCUUCUCUCUUUGUUCCCCCAUAUUUUAUGAAACCACUUUUAAUCUUAACGUUGGAAUAAUAACUUUAUUAAUAAUAAAUAAAGGACAACUUUUAACGGUGGAUCUCUUGGCUCGU
rnacentral:misc_RNA from 1 species